GACGUAGGGCGCGAGCGUUGUCCGGAUUUAUUGGGCGUAAAGAGCUCGUAGGCGGCUUGUCGCGUCGACUGUGAAAUCUCAGGGCUCAACUCUGACAUUGCAUUCGAUACGGGCAGGCUAGAGUUCGGUAGGGGAGACUGGAAUUCCUGGUGUAGCGGUGAAAUGCGCAGAUAUCAGGAGGAACACCGGUGGCGAAGGCGGGUCU
rnacentral:rRNA from 1 species